UACAAACACCUAGAAAUGCUACAUGAGGAAAAAUAAAUAUCUUUUAAAUGUAUAGAUGGGCUCAUAAGAAAAUAAUGGAAACCUACAAGUGUCAAAAAUGAAGAGAGAGAUAAAUGAGUGGUGGUCAUGUCCACAGGCUGCCCUGGGACAUCUCAAGCCUUGAGGAAUCUAGAGACUAGAAGUUUAAUGGCUGUGAAGGGGAAGUAAGACUAAGCAUAAGACCCUCAGCAGGUGAACACAUUUAUUGAUCACCUUGAAUCCCUGAGGCUGAAGAUUCAAACAAACAGGACAUGCUCCAAAUGCUCAAAGAUCUUUCACCUGAUGUGGGAUGAAAUGUAUAAAACAAAACACUUUUUAUGGGCUAAAAAUGUGUGUACUCCUCCAAAUUCAAAUGUUCAAAUCCUAAUCCCUGAUGUGAUAUUUGGAGAUGGAGCCUUCUGACUGUAAUCAGGGUUGGAUUAGGAUAUGAGAGUGGGACCUUCAUGAGGAUGUUAAUGCCCUUAUAAGAAGAGACACCAGAGAACUUGCCCUCUCUCUCUCCCUGCCAUGUGAGAACACAGCAAGAAGGCAGCCUCUACAAGCCAGGAAGAGAGCUUUCACCAGGAACCAAAUGAUCUUGGACUUACCAGCCUCCAGAACUGUGAGAAAUAAAUUUCUGUUGUUUAAACCACUCAGUCUGUGGUAUUUCAUUAUGGUAUCCUGAGCAGAC